GCUGCCGAACUGAUGAGCACAGUUCACUGAGUCUGGCCCCGGCAAAAUUCAGUUAGGUCAACAGCUCCCAUGUGAACAGACAUGCAAAUCGGCAGCAGUCUCUGCCCCACCCAAUCCUACACUAAGAGCAAAAGCAUCGACUCGGUGAGUCUAAUUGAAUUGCUAGCUUGUGAAUGCGUGAGUUGUUAAUCUCUGAGUAUUUGAGGCGAUGGAAGUCGAGUCAACCUUCUAGGUUGUUGCACAUGGAUCAUGGACAUGAGGAAUUACUUACAAAGAAACUUGAACUCGCUUGGAGCCUUGACUUGUUCAGAGAGAACGGUUUUGGGUUUUGGAUCUUCCGCGUGCCACUUCGGAUGAAGAUGGCAACGAGUCAAGCAAUCGUGUAAGUACGUUGUAUAAG
rnacentral:lncRNA from 7 species